rfam:Lupinus angustifolius cultivar Tanjil chromosome LG02, whole genome shotgun sequence.
CACCACCCGUCACUCCUACCGACUGAAUGGUCCGGUCAAGUGUUCGGAUUGUGGCGACGUGGGUGGUUCGCUGCCGAUGAUGUUGUGAGAAUUCAUAUGAACCUUAUCAUUUAGAGGAAGGAGAAGUUGUAAAAAGGUUUCCAUUGGUGAACCUGCAGAAG